rnacentral:rRNA from 1 species
UACCAGCACCCCGAGUGGUCUGGACGAUUAUUGGGCCUAAAGCAUCCGUAGCCGGUCCUGCAAGUCUUCCGUUAAAUCCAGCUGCUCAACAGAUGGGCUGCGGGGGAUACUACAUGGCUAGGAGGCGGGAGAGGCAAGCGGUACUUUAUGGGUAGGGGUAAAAUCCGUUGAUCCAUAGAAGACCACCAGUGGCGAAGGCGGCUUGCCAGAACGCGCUCGACGGUGAGGGAUGAAAGCUGGGGGAGCAAACCGG